rfam:Cavia porcellus supercont2_10 genomic scaffold, whole genome shotgun sequence.
GGGGAUUUAAGCUCAGCGGCACAAGCGCCUGCCUUGCAAGCAGGCGGUCGUAAGUUCAGUCCCCG